rnacentral:rRNA from 1 species
AUGAAGCUGCCACUAAGUGACAAUUUGGUAGCAGCUAUGCAAAAGGAUACAGGCUCUGGUGAUGUUUCUCCUUCUCAUGUAGGACGUGUUAGACAUCGGAGGCGCCCUAAUGAGACUGCCACCGAUGGGAAUAGAGCCAAUGGGACGGUUUUGCUUGUCAGCGACCAGAACAAGUACAAGUCAAUGCUUAUCCGUACAUAUUCAAGUUUGUGGAUGAUUGGAGGCUUUGUGUUCGUAGUUUAUAUGGGUCAUCUUUAUAUCUGGGCCAUGGUGGUUGUGAUUCAAAUAUUUAUGGCAACAGAGCUUUUUAACCUACUCAGAAGAUCCAGCGAAGAGAAACAACUGCCAGGGUUCAGGCUCCUGAAUUGGCACUUCUUCUUCACGGCAAUGUUGUUUACUUAUGGGCGUUUUCUUAGCCGGGAGCUUGUUAACACAGUAACUUCAGAUCACUUGCUGUAUAAGCUCGUCAGCGGCCUAAUAAAGUAUCAGAUGUUUAUUUGCUAUUUUCUUUAUAUUGCAGGAUUUGUAUGGUUUAUUUUGACUCUGAAGAAGAAGACAUACAAUUAUCAGUUCAAACAGUAUGCCUGGACGCACAUGAUCCUUUUAACGGUUUUUGCCCAAUCUUCUUUCACCGUGGCAAAUAUAUUUGAAGGGAUGUUCUGGUUUCUUCUCCCUGCUUCGCUCAUUGUGAUCAAUGACAUUGCUGCGUAUUUAUUUGGGUUUUUUCUCGGGAGAACACCAUUGAUCAAGUUAUCACCAAAGAAAACAUGGGAAGGUUUUAUUGGUGCAUCGGUGACAACCAUCAUCUCUGCUUUUCUGUUGGCAAACGUAAUGGGUCAUUUUCAGUGGUUAACCUGCCCAAGAAAGGACCUGUCGACAGGAUGGCUUACCUGUGAUCCCGGUUCUAUGUUUAAGCCAGAGCAUUACUUUUUGGGGGAUUGGGUGCCACAAUGGUUUCCAUGGAAAGAAGUUUUCCUUUUACCCGUGCAGUGGCAUGCUUUAGCCCUUGGGUUGUUUGCAUCGAUAAUAGCACCAUUUGGAGGAUUUUUCGCAAGUGGCUUCAAGAGGGCUUUUAAAAUAAAGGAUUUUGGCGACAGUAUACCUGGGCAUGGUGGAAUUACUGACCGAAUGGAUUGUCAAAUGGUCAUGGCAGUCUUUGCAUACAUAUAUCACCAAUCAUUUAUCUCACCCCACAAUUUCUCUGUUGACACAAUCUUGGAUCAGAUUGUAAGAAACCUAACCUACGAGGAGCAGAAGUCCUUAUACCAGCAACUAGGAGAGAUCUUCCGUGAAAGGCAGUUUAUGCAAAGCUGA